AGUGACAGGAAAGUGUAUUGAAGGAUUGCAGAGUGACAGGAAAGUGUAUUGAAGGAUUGCAGAGUGACAUGAAAGUGUAUUGAAGGAUUGCAGAGUGACAGGAAAGUGUAUUGAUGGAUUGCAGAGUGACAGGAAAGUGUAUUGAAGGAUUGCAGAGUGACAGGAAAGUGUAUUGAAGGAUUGCAGAGUGACAGGAAAGUGUAUUGAAGGAUUGCAGUGACAGGAAAGUGUAUUGAAGGAUUGCAGAGUGACAGGAAAGUGUAUUGAAGGAUUGCAGAGUGACAGGAAAGUGUAUUGAAGGAUUGCAGAGUGACAGGAAAGUGUAUUGAAGGAUUGCAGAGUGACAGGAAGGUGUAUUGAAGGAUUGCAGAGUGACAGGAAAGUGUAUUGAAGGAUUGCAGAGUGACAGGACAGUGUAUUGAAGGAUUGCAGAGUGACAGGAAAGUGUAUUGAAGGAUUGUAGAGUGACAGGAAAUUGUAUUGAAGGAUU